ACUGAUGAUCUAUAAUCCGGAAAAAUCGAUAAUCCGGAAUCGAAGAAGUCCCGAGGAGUCCGGAUUAACGACUUUUGACUGUAUUUACUAAACCUCCAGGCUGAGGAAGAAUGUGACAAAAUGAGACAAAAGAAAAAAUCAGUAAAGCUAACUUAGUACUAAUCUUCUUUCAAAUAUAUCCAACUAUUUAUUGUAAAGGAAACAGAUGUUAAUGCAGAUGUUCCCAUUGAUGUUUUAAAAAAUACUGUGAAAGAAAUGUGGGACAAAAAUGAAGAACUGAAGAAAAGUAUCACAGAUCUAGAGAAUCAAGGCUACAAAGAAGAACAGCUCCAGUGGUAUAUUGACAAACUACAUGAGUACAAUGAGAUUAAGGAUGUUGCCCAGAUGGUUAUGGGAAAAAUAGCUGUUAUUGAAGAGACUACCGUUAGGAAAGUUCAUGAGGAAUUUGGUAUGACAGAUAGUGACUGAUGUUUUGAGAUUGAAUUGCUGAAAAUUUUGAAGUAAUCUAGUUAUUGAAUAUAAACUAUCUAGCAACAAAAUAACUUCUAUAAAUUCAUUGUGUCAAACUGAAACAAACAAGUUGAAGAGUUUUAGAAAAAUAUUUUAUGAAUGUGUGUGUAGGAUGAUCUUUCUUUUUUAUCAAAGUGAACUGCAUUAACAGGAUAAUCCAAAACUUAGGUUUUGAACAGGUUUCGGAAAUUUAUAAAAAUUGAACAGAUUGGUUAUAUUGGAAUGUAGAAUGAAAAUGAACCACAAAAAGGGAAAUUUUUUUGCUAGAAACAGUAUGAAAAGGGAUAAAUGUUUAAUUCUUAGUUUCACAGAUAGAUGAUACUAUACCGAGUCAAGAAUAAAAAUAGCAAAGAGCAUGUAUAUUCAACAGCUUUUUCUGUAGACUAAAUAUCUUGAAAAAUUACUUUUGAAGAGCAAUGUUCCCCCCCCCAUAGAAAUAAACUGGACUAUGAUUAAUGUUUUAACAUAGUACAUUACCAUCCUGUUGGUUUAAAUUGUUUAUCUUAUGUGCCCCUCAUCAAAGUGCUCAUAAAGUUUUUAUUUGUUUAAUUACAUUCCAUUACACUCGUUUGUUCAGUUUUUAUAAAUUUAUGCUAUCAUUACAUACUUCUGAAGCAGUCUUAUAGAUAUGUAUAUAUACUGUGCCCUUUGAACACAAAAUGUACAGUACAUAUUUUAUUUUUGUAUGCAAGCAAUAUGUACACAUUUUUGUUGCUAAUUUAGUACUUGUAUAUUUUUUUGUAUAUAAAUACUUCUAAUUCUUUAAAAUUUUUGUUUAUA